rnacentral:lncRNA from 1 species
GGGGACCUGCUAGCGGAGGUGGGGAAUGGGCUGGGAGGAGCCAGUGGUGCGGGCCCGGGCUGCGGGUGCUGUCUCAGUCCGCGGCUUAGCAAACCUGGGGCACCGGCCGUGUUCUUAAGCGAUUCCCCAGAACCUUCCACGGGCAAAAAUCGGGAAAGUUUGCACUCACUGGUAGAGUGUCCACAAAUUCUGAAGCCCUCAAACAUGGAAAUAGCCCAGAUGUCCAGCAGUGGAUGAAUAGACAGACCAGAGUCACUGUAUCCAUAUGGGAAACAUUUGUCAGCUUGAGAAUGAAGCGACAUUCCCAGGUGCCCUGUACUGUGGACACACCUUGAGGAUAUUAUAAGACAGACUGAAAAGGGAGCUCUUGAACAUUGCAGGAGCGUCACAACAUGGCAUAAUCUUGAGAUCAGCCACACAAAGUGAAACUCCUCGGCCCUUUCCUGCAACUUCUUUGGAGAUCCACUACCUGAAUGUACUGCUGCCUAUCCUCCCUUCUUUCCUUCCUUCCUUCCUUCCUUCCUUCCUUCCUUCCUUCCUUCCUU